rnacentral:rRNA from 1 species
GACGAACGCUGGCGGCGUGCCUAAUACAUGCAAGUUGAGCGAUGAAGAUUGGUGCUUGCACCAAUUUGAAGAGCAGCGAACGGGUGAGUAACGCGUGGGGAAUCUGCCUUUGAGCGGGGGACAACAUUUGGAAACGAAUGCUAAUACCGCAUAACAACUUUAAACAUAAGUUUUAAGUUUGAAAGAUGCAAUUGCAUCACUCAAAGAUGAUCCCGCGUUGUAUUAGCUAGUUGGUGAGGUAAAGGCUCACCAAGGCGAUGAUUCAUAGCCGACCUGAGAGGGUGAUCGGCCACAUUGGGACUGAGACACGGCCCAAACUCCUACGGGAGGCAGCAGUAGGGAAUCUUCGGCAAUAGACGAAAGUCUGACCGAGCAACGCCGCGUGAGUGAAGAAGGUUUUCGGAUCGUAAAACUCUGUUGGUAGAGAAGAACGUUGGUGAGAGUGGAAAGCUCAUCAAGUGACGGUAACUACCCAGAAAGGGACGGCUAACUACGUG